GCUGCAUGGCUGUCGUCAGCUCGUGUCGUGAGAUGUUCGGUUAAGUCCGCUAACGAGCGCAACCCUCGCUGUGUGUUACAAGUGUCACACGGGAACUGCCGGGUCAUAAACCGGAGGAAGGUGGGGAUGACGUCAAGUCAGCAUGGCCUUUAUAUCCUGGGCUACACACACGCUACAAUGGGAAGGGACAAUAGGUUGCGAAGCCGCGAGGCGGAGCCAAUCCAGCAAACUUCCCUCAGUUCAGAUUGCAGGCUGCAACCCGCCUGCAUGAAGUUGGAGUUGCUAGUAAACGCAGGUCAGCCAUACUGCGUUGAAUACGUUCCCGGGGCUU
rnacentral:rRNA from 1 species